rnacentral:ncRNA from 1 species
CUUAUCAAGAGUGGCGGAGGGAACAGGCCCGAUGAUGCCCGGCAACCUGCAAUGAAAUGCGUAAGGUGCCAAUUCCUGCGGCUUUGACCGGAGAUGA